GGAAUGCUUUUGUCAGUAGUCCACAUGCUCAUUUAGGAAAAAUACACAGAUGAUCAUCAUAACUCCUUCUCAAGGAUGACACACAAUUUCAUGACACAUUCCAUACUUCU
rnacentral:snRNA from 1 species